rnacentral:rRNA from 1 species
CUGCCACUGAUAAAUAAUUUUUAAUGGCCGCAGUAUUUUGACGUGUGCAAAGGUAGCAUAAUCGUUAGUUUUUUAAUUGAAAUCUUGUAUGAAUGGUUUGACAAAAAAAAAUCUGUCUUUAUGAUUAUUUAUUGAAUUUAACUUUUAAGUGAAAAGGCUUAAAUAAAUUAAAAAGACGAUAAGACCCUAUAAAACUUAAUAUUAAUUUUUUAUUUUAAUAAAAUUUUUAGUAAUAUAAAUAUUUAGUAAUUAGUUUUAUUUUAUUGGGGUGAUAAUGGUAAAAUGAUUAUUAACUGUUAAUUGUAUUUAUAACAAAUAUAAAUGAAUAAAAUAAGUAUAUUGAUUUAUAAAUGAUCCUAUAUAAAGAUUAAAAGUUUAAGUUACUUUAGGGAUAACAGCGUCAUUUUUUUUGAGAGUUCUUAUCGAAAAAAAAGUUUGCGACCUCGAUGUUGAAUUAAAAUAUCUGUAUAAUUGUAGCAGUUAUAUAAGAAGGUCUGUUCGACC